rnacentral:rRNA from 1 species
GACAGAGGUGCCAAGCGUUAGGCGGAAUCACUGGGCUUAAAGCGUGUGUAGGCGGGUUUGUAAGUACCUUGUGAAAUCCCACGGCUUAACCGUGGAACUGCUGGGUAUACUGCGAAUCUUGAGCUGUCUAGGGGUUGCCGGAACAAACGGUGGAGCGGUGAAAUGCGUAGAUAUCUGAAGGAACAUCAGUGGCGAAGGCGACUUCCUGGACCAAUACUGACGCUCAUGUGCGAAAGCGUGGGGAGCAAACAGG